rnacentral:rRNA from 1 species
UGGGGAAUAUUGGACAAUGGGCGAAAGCCUGAUCCAGCGACGCCGCGUGUCGGAAGGAGUCCUUCGGGAUGUAAACGACUUUUGGUGGAGACGAAUAAACAGCUCAGGGAAUGGGGCUGUGAUGACGGUAUCCAUGGAAUAAGCCCCGGCUAACUACGUGCCAGCAGCCGCGGUAAGACGUAGGGGGCAAGCGUUACCCGGAAUUACUGGGCGUAAAGGGAGCGUAGGCGGGAGGUCAAGUCCGGUGUGAAAGACCCUGGCUCAACCAGGGAUGAGGGCUGGAAACUGACAAUCUUGAGUACAGCAGAGGAAGAGGGAAUUACCGGUGUAGGGGUGAAAUCCGUAGAGACCGGUAAGAAGGCCAGUGGCGAAGGCGCUUUUCUGGGCUGUUACUGACGCUGAGGCUCGAAAGCCAGGGGAGCAAACCG